GGCCGCAUCCGUGUUCAUCCUCAACCUUUAUAUAUGUUAUGUUUUAUCAUCCAUCAAAUACAACUUACAUUUCAAUAUUAAGAAUGAACACAAAUGCGGCCACUUUCAUUUUAGACAGAAUCCAUCUAAAAUUUAACAAAAAUGCAAAAGUUUUGAAGAUUUCAGUAAUUUAGCAUGACUUUAUGAUGCUAGUACCCGAUAUAUGUACAUUGUAUUGUCAAAAACAGCUCAUAUUUAUGUAGCAGAAGCAU
rnacentral:lncRNA from 1 species